rnacentral:rRNA from 1 species
AGAGUUUGAUCCUGGCUCAGGAUAAACGCUAGCGGCAGGCCUAACACAUGCAAGUCGCGGGGCAGCAUAACAAUUAGCAAUAAUCGUUGAUGGCGACCGGCGCACGGGUGCGUAACACGUAUGUAACCUGGCCUUUACAGGGGGAUAGUCAGAGGAAACUUUGAAUAAUACCCCAUAACACACCAUUAAGGCAUCUUAAAGGUGUUAAAGGAGCGAUCCGGUAAAGGAUGGACAUGCGACCGAUUAGACAGUUGGUGAGGUAACGGCUCACCAAAUCCACGAUCGGUAGGGGGUCUGAGAGGACUACCCCCCACACUGGUACUGAGAUACGGACCAGACUCCUACGGGAGGCAGCAGUGAGGAAUAUUGGGCAAUGGGCGGAAGCCUGACCCAGCCAUGCCGCGUGCAGGAAGACAGCCCUAUGGGUCGUAAACUGCUUUUUUAGAGGAAGAAUAAAGUCUACGUGUAGACCGAUGACGGUACUUUAAGAAAAAGCAUCGGCUAACUCCGUGCCAGCAGCCGCGGUAAUACGGAGGAUGCAAGCGUUAUCCGGAAUUAUUGGGUUUAAAGGGUCCGCAGGCGGCCCGUUAAGUCAGUAGUGAAAACCCGGGGCUCAACCCCGGACGUGCUACAGAUACUGGCGGGCUAGAGAAAGUCUGGAGGCAGCGGAAUGUGACAAGUAGCGGUGAAAUGCAUAGAUAUGUCACAGAACACCGAUAGCGAAAGCAGCUGCCUAAGACUUAUCUGACGCUCAGGGACGAAAGCGUGGGGAGCAAACAGGAUUAGAUACCCUGGUAGUCCACGCAGUAAACGAUGAUAACUCGUUGUCGGCGAUACACAGUCGGUGACUAAGCGAAAGCGAUAAGUUAUCCACCUGGGGAGUACGUUCGCAAGAAUGAAACUCAAAGGAAUUGACGGGGGCCCGCACAAGCGGAGGAACAUGUG